rnacentral:rRNA from 1 species
AGAGCGAACGCUGGCGGCGUGCCUAACACAUGCAAGUCGAACGAGAAAGUGGAGCAAUCCAUGAGUAAAGUGGCGACCGGGUGAGUAACACGUGACUAACCUACCUUCGAGUGGGGGAUAACCUCGGGAAACCGAGGCUAAUACCGCAUAACAUCGUGAGAUCAAAGCAGUAAUGCGCUGGAAGAGGGGGUCGCGGCUGAUUAGCUAGUUGGCGGGGUAAUGGCCCACCAAGGCGAAGAUCGGUA